GAAGGGCACGUUCAAAAGUACGUACACUUCAGGACUUCUCUACAAGAGGCCAAAUCCCAAGAGAUUUACUAAACAUGACCCAUGGAAAAAAAUAUUAAAAAAUCUGAAAAUCAACUGAAAUUUGAAAGGUUUGUCCAGAAUGUCUUUUACAAAAUAAUUAUCAGCCAUUAAUUUUAUGACAGAGAGAUCAAGGAAUCACACUGCAACUGUAACAAGAGCAGCUAGGUAGGUGGAUAAUAUUAGUACUUCUGGAAGAAACUCCCUUACAAAGUAACUAUGAGAAAUGACUAGAUGUAGCUAACACCACAGAUGCCUUUCCACAUCUGGCAGGAAUAGCCACAUCUUUAGAAACAAUGUUACUGUUUCAGUAAAAGCGCUGCAAAACUUGUGCAGACUUUGGGCAGCGGGACUCCCUCUUCUUCCCAUUUUUGCCCUUGGAGUUUCCAGCUGGUAUCUAGGCAAGCACCAGGGAGGCAGGGCAAUACACACUGCAGUUUGUUUGUCUAAUAGCCUCAGCAGAACCCACUCCAUCCAUAGGUUUGUGAAGUGCUGUAAGUGUUAAGGAAUUAAUAAUCAAAAUCCUGUGUUUUCAACUUAGAAGUAAGAUACCUUCAUUUUGCCGCAUCCAGCUGACUCCCUUCACAUUCCUUUCACUCCACAACUGGUGCAGACUUACAACUGUAAGUUUCACAAGUGUUUAACUGACUAAGGAACCAUAAAAUUAGCUUUCUCCCACUGCUGGCUGAACUAAGUGGCAUGACUUUCCAUUGCCCCAGGUUAGGUAACAACAGCAGGUCAGCAGCUGCAGGGUCAUGAAGCUCACACCACAGCCUGGCUUGCAGUGCAAAUUGUCUGGAGGAUUCUUCACACCCAUGGGGAAUAUCCCUUCUCUGCUCUGGAGGUGACCUAAGGGCUAAGCCCCAGUGUCACAGUCAGGUUACUGGGACAAUGAGGAGCUUACCCUGUAAGAUUCAGGGUUUAACAGCUUGCCCCAUUUCCUCUGCAGUUCAGCUCUCGCCAGCCUUGCCAUACGAAUGGCACACAUCACAUUUACUGCACUGGGCACGCCGGUUCAUGGCUGCUCACCACCUGCAUUAGGAAGCCACCCAUUCAGUAAGGGGUGCCUCGUAUACAGCUUAUUAAAAGAAAUCCAAUAAAUCAAAGAGCCUUGUAUCCAGACAUCAAAACUUUGGAAACUGUGCUUUGUGAAAGUUAUCUGCCAGGGUGAAACAAUGCCGUGAUUGUUUCAGGGCAUGUCAACACACAAAGACAUGGGAACUAAGCUCUGUGUCACAUUAACAGUGUUAAACGGACUUCUGAAGUUGGCUCACACACUGGGUCAGCUGAGAGCUCAAACUGAGGAAUCCAAGAUCUGUUACCACCUAUCCACAGAAGGAUGUGAAAGAAAUGCUGUUCAUUUCUGAGCACUGAAAUGUAAAACAGCAACUAGCAAAGCCUAAAUUUCUAUUUCUACUGCUUCUGUUAAAAUCUUUCCUCUAAGUGCAAAUAAAAAAAUACCACAUACAAACUCAUCCUCUGUUUUUGGAAAGUGGCUGUAGCUGGAAGGAUGCCUAUCUGAUAUAGGCAAGAUGUCUUCAUUUAGUGGUGUUACGUACAUAGCUACAUAUACUGGGUCAGUGAGAUGCAUAGAACUAGUCAUCGAGUCAACAAUAUUUGUACAAAGCCAGCUAUGUUUCUUUUCCCAAUG